rnacentral:rRNA from 1 species
GAUGAACGCUAGCGGCAGGCUUAACACAUGCAAGUCGAGGGAGAGGUUACCUUCGGGUAACGAAAACCGGCGCACGGGCGCGUAACGCGUAUACAAUUAGCCUUUCACAUAGGGAUGGAUCGAAGCAAUUUGGUUUAAUAACUAACGGAAUAUAAGAGCGGCAUCGUUUUUAUGUUAGAGAUAUGGCGGUGAAAGAUGAGGAUGCGUUCGAUUAGCUAGUUGGAGAGGUAACGGCUUCUCACGGCGACGAUGGAUAGGGGUUCUGAGAGGGAGGUCACCUACACUGGUACUGGGCUACGGUCGAGACUCGUACGGGAGGCAGCACUUAGGAAUAGUAGACGUUGGUCGUAAGACUGAUCCAGCCAUGCCGCGUGCAGGAUGAAGGUCCUAUGGAUUGUAAACUGCUGUUGUGAGAGAAGAAUUAGCAUUACGUGUACUGUGAUUACGGUUACUUACUAAUAAGCAACGGCUAACUCCGUG